rnacentral:rRNA from 1 species
UACGUAGGGUGCAAACGUUGUUCGGAAUUACUGGGCGUAAAGCGCGUGUAGGCUGCUCAGAAAGUCGGAUGUGAAAGCCCUGGGCUUAACCUAGGAAGUGCAUUCGAAACUUCUGAGCUUGAGUUCUGGAGAGGAAGGCGGAAUUCUCGGUGUAGAGGUGAAAUUCGUAGAUAUCGAGAGGAACACCGGUGGCGAAGGCGGCCUUCUGGACAGUGACUGACGCUGAGACGCGAAAGCGUGGGGAGCAAACAGG